rnacentral:rRNA from 1 species
GACGAACGCUGGCGGCGUGCUUAACACAUGCAAGUCGAACGGUGAACCUCUUCGGAGGGGAUCAGUGGCGAACGGGUGAGUAACACGUGGGCAACCUGCCCCCGGCUCUGGGAUAACUCCAAGAAAUUGGGGCUAAUACCGGAUGUUCACCGCUUCCCGCAUGGGUGGUGGUGGAAAGGGUUUCCGGCUGGGGAUGGGCCCGCGGCCUAUCAGCUUGUUGGUGGGGUAGUGGCCUACCAAGGCGACGACGGGUAGCCGGCCUGAGAGGGUGACCGGCCACACUGGGACUGAGACACGGCCCAGACUCCUACGGGAGGCAGCAGCGGGGAAUAUUGCGCAAUGGGCGGAAGCCUGACGCAGCGACGCCGCGUGGGGGAUGACGGCCUUCGGGUUGUAAACCUCUUUCAGCAGGGACGAAGCGCAAGUGACGGUACCUGCAGAAGAAGCACCGGCCAACUACGU